rnacentral:lncRNA from 1 species
GGCCCGGCAAGUCAGUGAGCAGAGCAGACCUCUGAGGAAGCAGGCCGAAAGGCAGAGGGUCGCCCGGGCCGGGCCCAGCGCACCUCGGGUCACCAGUCCAAGGGCGCUGUCCCCGCAGUGGGUCUGUGCCCGGACGUCUGCAGCAGAACGCACCCGACCCAGGCAAUGCCCGGCGCCGAGGGGUCCGGAAGUCGGCCAGCUGUAGCCGCCGGGCCGCGGGGCCGAGGGGAAGGAGCGGGCGGUCCGGGCCGACCACCGCAGGGCCGGGGCGCCGAAGGAAUGCCUUUUGGAUCUAGCCCUGCUCCUCCCAAAAGCUGGCGGGAGGAACCAGGAGACCCCAGGAUCCUGGACAGAAGCAGAUGUUCCCUGAAUCCCCAGGGAAAUGUUACCUGUGGAGGCCAGGGGCUGGGCAUCCUGAGAGCGAAAGGAGGAGCUGGAAGUAGAUGUCGAGGGGGCCUGAGGAGGUGGGUGACAGGGCCCGUGCCCAGCACAGGAAGGCAUCAGCACCCCUGCUGGGCUCACUGUGGCUCCCAGCACUUCCUGAGGCCCUGUCUCCUGCUUCUAACUCCUGUCCUGUGCUGGACUUCUCCUCAG